AGCAGCCGCGGUAAUUCCAGCUCCAAUAGCGUAUAUUAAAGUUGUUGCAGUUAAAAAGCUCGUAGUUGAAUUUCGGGAUCAAUACGUUGGUCGUGCUUUCGGGUACGUACUGGCGUCAUUGGUUUCUCUCUUCUGACGAACCAUGAUGUCAUUAGUUUGGUGUUAUGGGGAGUUAGGACUGUUACUUUGAAAAAAUUAGAGUGUUUAAAGCAGGCAUUAGCUUGAAUACAUUAGCAUGGAAUAAUGAAAUAGGACGUUUGAUCCUAUUUUGUUGGUUUCUAGGAUCGACGUAAUGAUUAAUAGGGAUAGUUGGGGGCAUUAGUAUUCAAUUGUCAGAGGUGAAAUUCUUGGAUUUAUUGAAGACUAACUACUGCGAAAGCAUUUGCCAAGGAUGUUUUCAUAAUUCAAGAACGAAAGUUAUGGGGGAUCAAGACGAUCAGAUACCGUCGUAGUCUUAACCAUAAACUAUGCCGACUAGGGAUCGGAUGAUGUUAAUUUUUUAAUG
rnacentral:misc_RNA from 1 species